rnacentral:rRNA from 1 species
GACGUAGGGUGCGAGCGUUGUCCGGAUUUAUUGGGCGUAAAGAGCUCGUAGGCGGCUUGUCGCGUCGUCUGUGAAAUCCCGCGGCUCAACCGCGGGUCUGCAGUCGAUACGGGCAGGCUAGAGUUCGGUAGGGGAGACUGGAAUUCCUGGUGUAGCGGUGAAAUGCGCAGAUAUCAGGAAGAACACCAAUGGCGAAGGCAGCUCGCUGGGACGGAACUGACGCUGAGGCGCGAAAGCGUGGGGAGCAAACAGG